GAUGAACGCUGGCGGCGUGCUUAACACAUGCCAGUCGAACGGAAAGGCCCAAGCUUGCUUGGGUACUCGAGUGGCGAACGGGUGAGUAACACGUGGGUGAUCUGCCCUGCACUUCGGGAUAAGCCUGGGAAACUGGGUCUAAUACUGGAUAGGACCACUUCUUGGAUGGUGUGGUGGAAAGUUUUUUCGGUGUGGGAUGAGCUCGCGGCCUAUCAGCUUGUUGGUGGGGUAAUGGCCUACCAAGGCGUCGACGGGUAGCCGGCCUGAGAGGGUGUACGGCCACAUUGGGACUGAGAUACGGCCCAGACUCCUACGGGAGGCAGCAGUGGGGAAUAUUGCACAAUGGGCGCAAGCCUGAUGCAGCGACGCCGCGUGGGGGAUGACGGCCUUCGGGUUGUAAACUCCUUUAGCUAGGGACGAAGCGUUUUUGUGACGGUACCUGGAGAAGAAGCACCGGCUAACUACGUG
rnacentral:rRNA from 1 species